rnacentral:rRNA from 1 species
GACGAACGCUGGCGGCGUGCUUAACACAUGCAAGUCGAACGAGAGCGUAGAGAAAGCUUGCUUUUUCUACAAUCUAGUGGCAAACGGGUGAGUAACGCGUAAACAACCUGCCCUACGGAUGGGGACAACAGCUGGAAACGGCUGCUAAUACCGAAUACGUUCCGAAAGUCGCAUGACUAUCGGAAGAAAGGAUGGCCUCUAUUUAUAAGCUAUCGCCGGAGGAGGGGUUUGCGUCUGAUUAGCUAGUUGGAGGGGUAACGGCCCACCAAGGCGACGAUCAGUAGCCGGUCUGAGAGGAUGAACGGCCACAUUGGAACUGAGACACGGUCCAGACUCCUACGGGAGGCAGCAGUGGGGAAUCUUCCGCAAUGGGCGAAAGCCUGACGGAGCAACGCCGCGUGAGUGAAGACGGCCUUCGGGUUGUAAAGCUCUGUUAUACGGGACGAAUAAUCUUGUGGUUAAUACCCAUGAGAAGUGACGGUACCGGAAGAGAAAGCCACGGCUAACUACGUG